rnacentral:rRNA from 1 species
AUUGAACGCUGGCGGCAGGCCUAACACAUGCAAGUCGAGCGAGUGGCGGACGGGUGAGUAAUGUAUGGGGAUCUGCACGAUAGAGGGGGCUAACUACUGGAAACGGUGGCUAAUACCGCAUACUAUCGGAUGAGCCCAUAUGGGAUUAGCUCGUAGGUGGGGUAAAGGCUCACCAAGGCGACGAGCCCUAGCUGGUUUGAGAGGAUGCUCAGCCACACGGGGAAUGAUACACUGCCCAGAAUCCUACGGGAGGCAGCAGUGGGGAAGGUUGGCCAAUGGGGGCAAGCCUGAUGCAGCCAUGCCGCGUGUAUGAAGAAGGCCUGAGGGUUGUAAAGUACUUUCAGCGGGGAGGCGUUACCUGCAGAAGAAGCACCGGCUAACUCCGUGCCAGCAGCCGCGGUAAUUC